CCUGCUCGCCCUUCUUGGGCGUUUCCUCCCUAAACUUCGGGCCGCAUUGUUGCGGCCCUUUUUCUUGUGAGGG
rnacentral:tmRNA from 2 species